CAACUGUUCCCAACCUUCCAGCUGACCUAUCGCAGGGCUCCUCUCUGCUUAUAUUACACAAUUACAAGAUGGGUGCACAUUUUCCUAAAUGUCUGUCACGAUGACACAUCCUACUUUGACUACUUAGGAUUUGAUGUGCGCCGGACCAUUUUUGCUUUGAACAAAGCGCACUAGGUGUUAAAAUCAAUAAUUAUAACCGUAAUUUUUUCAAAAUGAAGAAAAGAUACGAAAGUCCACUUGAAUUGCGUGGCAACAUUCAAACUCUUUAUGAAGAAGACUAUACUCAAUGACAAAUUGCAAAAAAAUAAUUAAUUACGCGGUCUAUGUAACAUAUACAUUAGCUCGGUACAAAGAAACAGGUCCAAACGAGACUAAAAAACGUUCUGGACGACCCAGGUGCACAUCAAAAAGGGAAGAUAAAUAUCGUAAUGAGAAAGCGAAACUGAAGACUCCCAGUAACUGCAAUCAAAGAAGAAUUAGACAAACUCCAGCAUCAGAUGAUACAGUUAAAAGAUGUCUACGUAAUGUACUGUAGGUCAAAAUGGUUGCAUUGUUGAGGUUUGUAAAUAAAGUUAAACACUUUUG